GAUGAACGCUGGCGGCGUGCCUAAUACAUGCCAGUCGAGCGAACAGACGAGGAGCUUGCUCCUCUGACGUUAGCGGCGGACGGGUGAGUAACACGUGGAUAACCUACCUAUAAGACUGGGAUAACUUCGGGAAACCGGAGCUAAUACCGGAUAAUAUAUUGAACCGCAUGGUUCAAUAGUGAAAGACGGUUUUGCUGUCACUUAUAGAUGGAUCCGCGCCGCAUUAGCUAGUUGGUAAGGUAACGGCUUACCGAGGCAACGAUGCGUAGCCGACCUGAGAGGGUGAUCGGCCACACUGGAACUGAGACACGGUCCAGACUCCUACGGGAGGCAGCAGUAGGGAAUCUUCCGCAAUGGGCGAAAGCUUGACGGAGCAACGCCGCGUGAGUGAUGAAGGUCUUCGGAUCGUAAAACUCUGUUAUUAGGGAAGAACAAAUGUGUAAGUAACUAUGCACGUCUUGACGGUACCUAAUCAGAAAGCCACGGCUAACUACGUG
rnacentral:rRNA from 1 species